UACGGAGGGUGCAAGCGUUAUCCGGAUUCACUGGGUUUAAAGGGUGCGUAGGUGGGUUGGUAAGUCAGUGGUGAAAGUCUGCAGCUUAACUGUAGAACUGCCAUUGAUACUGUAGGGCUUGAGUACUGAUGAGGUAGGCGGAAUUGAUAGUGUAGCGGUGAAAUGCAUAGAUAUUAUCAAGAACACCGAUUGCGAAGGCAGCUUACUAAGGAGUUACUGACACUGAGGCACGAAAGCGUGGGGAUCAAACAGG
rnacentral:rRNA from 1 species